rnacentral:rRNA from 1 species
UACGUAGGGUGCAAGCGUUAAUCGGAAUUACUGGGCGUAAAGCGUGCGCAGGCGGUGAUGUAAGACAGUUGUGAAAUCCCCGGGCUCAACCUGGGAACUGCAUCUGUGACUGCAUCGCUGGAGUGCGGCAGAGGGGGGUGGAAUUCCGCGUGUAGCAGUGAAAUGCGUAGAUAUGCGGAGGAACACCGAUGGCGAAGGCAAUCCCCUGGGCCUGCACUGACGCUCAUGCGCGAAAGCGUGGGGAGCAAACAGG